UUUCAAAAGGUCAGGUCAAAGGGCGAACGAAUGAUUAAGCCCUGUUUACUUGAGACUUUAGUAAAACCCAAAUGUCGCUUCGUUCCAUCGGAAGAUAUCUCGCAGUCGCUCGCCACUUCUCUUCAGAAGCGGCACGAAGAAACACCUCCACCGCCAGCUCCAGCGGCGGCGGUGGCGGUGGCGGAGACACGCUAGGACGUAGGCUUCUCAGCCUUGUGUAUCCAAAACGAAGCGCAGUCAUCGCAAUCAACAAAUGGAAGGAAGAAGGCCACACACUCCCUUCCAAGUACCAGCUCAAUCGCAUGAUUCGCGAACUCCGCAAGAACAAGCGCUACAAACACGCGCUCGAGGUAUGUGAAUGGAUGACAUUGCAAAAGGAUAUCAAGCUAGUGGAAGGAGACUAUGCUGUUCACUUGGACUUGAUAACCAAAGUUCGCGGUUUAAACGGUGCAGAAAAAUUCUUUGAGGAUCUUCCUGAUAAGAUGAGAGGCCAACCAACCUGCACCGCUCUUCUCCAUGCCUAUGUCCAAAAUAAUUUGGUUGAUAAAGCUGAGGCGCUUGUGUCAAAAAUGUCGGAAUGUGGUUUCAUGCGAAGUCCUUUGCCUUAUAAUCACAUGAUGUCUCUCUACAUCUCGAAAGGGAAGAUAGAUAAGGUUCCUAAACUUUUUGAGGAACUAAAGGUUAAUACUUCUCCUGAUGUUGUUACCUUCAAUUUAUUGUUAACUGCAUGUGCUUCGGAAAACGACGUCGAAACUGCAGAAAGGGUACUGCUUCAGUUAAAGAAGGCAAAAGUAGACCCGGACUGGGUAACGUAUAGUACUUUGACCAAUUUGUACAUAAGAAAUGCUAGCAUAAAGGAUGAUUGCCUAGAGAAGGCAGCAUCUACUUUGAAAGAGAUGGAGAAGAGAACCUGGCGGAAAACUCGAGCUGCAUAUUCCUCUCUCCUGAGUUUGCAUGCAAACAUGGGGAAUGUGGAUGAAGUUAAUCGGAUAUGGAAGAAAAUGAAGGAUUGCUUUCGCAAAAUGAGUGACGAAGAGUACAUUUGCAUGAUAUCAUCACUUGUGAAACUUGGAGACUUCGCCGGAGUUGAGAAUCUCUAUAGAGAGUGGGAAUCUGUUUCUGGUACCAAUGAUGUCAGAGUUUCAAACUUACUUCUUACUUCAUAUGUUGACCAAGGCCAGAUGGAAAUGGCUGAAAUUUUUUGUAAUCAGUUAGUGGAAAAGGGUGUCUGUCUUACUUACACGACGUGGGAGCUACUUACGAGGGGGUAUUUGAAAAAGAGCGAUGUAAAAAACUUUCUGUAUUAUUUUCGGAAAGCUAUAUCUAGUGUGAAAACUUGGAUUCCUGAUCCCUUGUUAGUACAAGAAGCAUUCACAGUCAUGCGGGAGCAGGUUCAUAUUGAAGGAGCAGAACAAUUGUUGGUUAUCCUUCGAGAUGCUGGACAUGUGAAUACUAAUAUAUAUAACCUAUUUCUGAAAACUUAUGCUGCAGCUGGUAAAAUGCCUCUCAUUGUUGCUGAGAGGAUGAAAAAGGACAACGUUCAGUUGGAUGAAGAGACACAUAGGCUCUUGGAUCUAACCAGUAAAAUGUGUGUGAGCGAUGUUUCUGGGAUUCUGUCCUAAGCUCACAUUGAAGGAUUUUAAGGUAAUGUGGGAGGAUCAUGUGUUUGGCUGCUAUUUUUAUGUGAUAUCCAUCCCAUUUCUGAAUAUAAGAAUUGGACUGUUAGUAUUUGUGAACGUAAUACAAAUUUUCGAUAAUAAGAAUGUUGAAAUCAAGUACCAAACCUUGACUUUAAUGACAGAACCAGUUCAACUCCAUGGUUUUUUUUAAUACUUCAAUCUAUUCAGGAUUACACAUAGCCAGCUUGUCAUGAUUUUGUCUCUUCCAAUUUGUCACAAAUUCACACUUUUCCUGUCCUGGCGUGACUUACUUAUGGACAAGCCACUGCUAGUUUUAUUACCAAUCAGCAAGCUUCAGAAAUUUAUGAGAACCGAUUAAAUUUCUAGUUCACUGUUCUCAAACAUGCAAUGGAGGAAAUGCAUUUCCCAAUCCAUUUUCAGCAUAUGAUUUUCCAGUUUAUUUUCUUUUGUAACUACAGGUUUUUGUUAGAGAAUCAGAGUAGUGUUGUAAUUUGAAUUACCGCCCAACCCUUUAAGAUGGGAGUUUUGUUGACCUAAAUCUUGAGUCUGGAUGUGUGGUGCUAUCUACAAUGAGGGAGGAUAAAAGUCCCUCACCUGUAAGUUGCAACAUACAUUCCAAGUUUUUUUUUUCCGAAUACUUCUGAUGAAUGACUUGCAAAGAAGUUCAUUUCAGUCUAACAUCAAAGGAGUGUGGAAGGUAUACAUUCACAAACAAUAACCCUAGCCAUCGCGCGAUACACGGAACAAUGAUAGAUCCGUUGUAAAUUGGUUUGCCUAACUGAGUGGUAAGCAGUCCUGCCAAAGCCACAAAUUUCAUCAGCUAAUGUUGAAGAAUCAUCAUUAUUAUUUCUGCAGUUAGGUUGGAUUCACCUGUUGACAAAUCAUUGAUGAGAAGAAUCGAAUAAUUCAAUUUGUGGUGCUGUUCACUAUAAUCACAAUGGUUAUCUCAUCUGUUCUGGUAGCCAUGAUGACGAUUGAUGACAAUUGUAAGAUAUGGGAUGCGAUUGUUGGUACUCUUUUGUUGGUUGUUGCAACUGUGAACCUUCGUGACACCACCUUGGAUUCUUGUGAUUUCUAGUUGAUAACUUGACAGGAGCAGGCCUAAUUGAUCAGACGAGCGACUGUUUUUACAAAAUGAGAACUCAAGCCCUUUCAGAAAUGGUGUGGUGGAAUUGUUGUUCUCUCAAAUACGAACUUCCACUCAAGCCCUUUCAGAAAUGGUGUGGUGGAAUUGUUCUCUCAAAUACGAACUUCCAUCUCUUAACGUAGUGCUUUAUUAAUUUUGCUAUUGCAAAAACAAGACAGACAUAUAAAUUAGACAGUGUAUUUCACUUUCUGAUGUUGUGCAGAAUGACCUCAACAAAAGGCUUCUUUGGCAGCGUUUGUUGCCACCAUGUACUAUGCUUCGGCAUGACAACUAUGGAUUGAAUCAAUAGUUUCUAACAGAUA